AAACCCAAUGUGCAUAUUUGUAUGAGAAUAUUACUGACUAAUCAUCAACCUAUCCGAAAGCUGUAAGCGUGACACAAUAGCAGCGUUACCCAUUGUUAGUUUUCUCUCUCUACAUACCAUCAUAUCACUGUGUUUUCUGUGACAAGUUUGCUGAGACAGUUUAACUAUAACGUGCGAAGGAUUUCUAUUUUUAGUGAAUAUCUGUACAAGAUGCAACGUAGAAAUAGAAGUGCCUAGACGCUGGUGACAAAUAGUGAAGAUGUCUGACACCAAGCUGUUCUACGUGGUCAAAUCACAAGACGCAGAAAAGGCGAGACUUUGCAGCACUAGUGACGACGACGAUGGUGAAAACAUCGAGUAUGACGCCUGCAGGAUCAAGUGGAUGUUACAAAACGCUGAUGUGAAUAUAAGGAGCGUGAUGUGUGGUGGUGUGGUGUGGUGGCGGCGGCAGGAGUGUGUGUUGCUGGGGGCGUUACCGUCUGCUAUACCCUGACACGAGGCUCCUGCUGGUGUUGACGGCUCCUGGAAGCGCUGACGGUGCUGCUGGCUAUACCUCCUGCCUUGCUAUAAGUUAUGGCGGCACUCUCGGUAGAUAAGGUGCUGGUUGGGAUACUACCAGUCCUUCGGGGGAUGCUGUUAUAGGGUGGUGGUGGGUGCUCCUGGUAGAUGGGUAGCUACUAGCGGUGCUCCUGGUAGAUGUGCAGCUAGUAGUGGUGCUCCUGGUAGAUAGGUAGCUACUAGCGGUGCUCCUGGUAGAUGGGUAGCUACUAGUGGUGCUCCUCGUAGAUGGGUAGCUACUAGUGGUGCUCCUGGUAGAUGGGUAGCUACUAGUGGUGCUCCUGGUAGAUGGGUAGCUACUAGUGGUGCUCCUGGUAGAUGGGUAGCUACUA